GCCAGCGUGGUGUAAUGGCUUGAGCAUUGGACAAUGACUCUAGAGACCAGAGUUCAAAUCUCUGCUCAGCCA